GCCCGGGGCGAGGAAGGAGAUAUCGGAGCCCAGCCGGGUGCAGAAGCCGCUGUCCUGGCAGUUACCGCUCUCCUGUCUGUCGGUCGUGGCACGCCCCGUUUCUUUCUGCCUUCUCCCGCCGUCUGUGUUUGCCCACGGUGUCCUGCCGCCCCCGUGAAGCACCACCCGUGUAUCUCGCACUCUGGUUAUUCUAACUCCCAACAAAAUGUGGUUAGGAACUGCAGCCAUGAUGUCAACGCCUGGUUCACCUUGGUCGUUUCACGCAGGGCUGUGCUGCCAAUGGCGCAGUUGGCGGGACCACCAGGAAGGCAAACAAUUAAAAAUAAGUGCUGUAAGCAGUUGCAAGACCUGUGACCACAGCAGCAGGAGGGAGGACUGCACCAUGUCCACAAGAAGCUUUUCAGCAGUUUGGAAAGCAUCUGCAGGGCUCCUGGAGAUCUCUAUAGUUUUGGAAAGGCUUCUCCAUUCAGUCCGAUCAUCAUAUCUGGGAGGAGGCUGUACCAUUAGGUCCAUGAACAAGCAGUGAUUUGGCAUCUAAGGCUGGCCUCCCUGGCUGUUUACAAAUGCUCGUGCUCAGAAUCCUUGCUCAGCCGCCAACUAGGGAGACAACUCACGUCCACAUAUAGUAUGGACAGCUUGUUAUCAACACAAAGUGAAUCACUCUGUACGUCUGGGCCUAUUGUGCCACACUACUUGCUGAUGUAAACGUAACCGAAGUCUAGAAUGAUUCCAUACACUGGACUUGAUUGAUCUCAUCUGCAGAGUCCAUUGCACUAGAAACUCUUAGUAUGAGACAACGAGGUAGACCCUGUGCAAAACAGAAGUAUUGUUUAUGCCCUUUUAUUAGCAAAGAGCAGUACAGCAAUAACAUAUAAUUCCAAAUUUAUAAAAUACAAUAAAACUCCAAAUGACCAAGUACA
rnacentral:lncRNA from 1 species